GAUGAAGAACGUAGCGAAAUGCGAUAAGUAGUGUGAAUUGCAGAAUUCAGUGAAUCAUCGAAUCUUUGAACGCACAUUGCGCCCCUUGGUAUUCCAUGGGGCAUGCCUGUUCGAGCGUCAUUUGUACCUUCAAGCUUUGCUUGGUGUUGGGUGUUUGUCCUGAGGGACUCGCCUUAAAGUAAUUGGCAGCCAGUGUUUGGUUUUGAAGCGCAGCACAAGUCGCGAUUCAAAGCUAUACGCCCGCUUCCACAAGCCUUUUUCACUUUUGACCUCGGAUCAGGUAGGGAUACCCGCUGAGCUUAAGCAUAUCAAUAAGCGGAGGA
rnacentral:misc_RNA from 1 species